UAAGAAUGGUUCAUAUUUUGUAAUUUUUUUAAUUUUUUUCUUUUUGUUUUUAAAUUGUAUGUGUACUGAAAUUAGAGUUUCGUGGAUUGUAGUGCAGUAUCGCCGGAGAAAGCGAAAAUAGAUUUGGAGUCAAUAAGAGGAAAGAAGUGGUAGAUUUGGAGAGAUCUGUAGAGAAUCAACGUGGCUGUGAUGAAAAAGGAGCUCGACGUUGAUAAUGACGACAAAGGUAAUGUGGAGAUGGGGAUUCGUCUUUCCGAUGUCGGUAGUGCGAUCAAGAUGCGUAUAGAAUAAUAAUUCUAUUGCUGCUUCUUUCAUUACUAUGUUUUAUAAUUUAUUUACUAAAGUUAUAAAUUUUGUUACAUUUGUACGUAUAUCUGUUUCAUCUCUUUUAUAUAUUUGUAUAUAUGUUAAUAUAUAUUAUCUUUAUUUAUUAAUGUCUUAUGUCAAUUCAAAAAAUUUAAAAUUUUUAUUUUGUGAAUCUUCUGUCUUUUAUAGCAUCAGCCCACCGCAAUGCGCGGGUAACUUCACUAGUUAACAAUAUAUCAUAAUUCUAUGUAUGAAAAUCAUGCUUUUUGUAAGCCUAUUUAUCGCCUCGUUGGCACUAAUCAUUAAUCCCAAAAGCUCAAAUUGUUAGAAAUAUAUAGUCAAUUUACUUAAAGCGUACAGAUAUAGCGCCAAUGGUCUCAAUUGUGAGCCUCACGUCAAUCCAAUCCAACUUCCUACCAUUUCAAAUUAAUAUGAUUCGACCUGACCUGACUUCCAGUCACGUAGCAGAAUGUUAUUCCUUU
rnacentral:lncRNA from 1 species